AGAAAGUGAAACUGGUACUAAAUCGACCCAUCCAGGUUCACCAUCUGGACUGAGGGAUGUGCCAGGAAAUGAGCAGCUGUGAUGGUAACCUAUAUUUCUCCUCAAAUGAGUCAGUGUGCAACAGAAACAAGUGAAUACUUCUACCAGACAUCAGUUUGGUAGCUUGUAGGACUAGCAUCACCUGAGCAGACUGAAAUGGCACAUGAAGUGAAUGGCAGCUGGCUGAAAAGGUUUGAGAGAGAGAGAAGAGGGUUCAUGUUUUUUCAUCUAUUCUGUGUCUUGUUAACAAGACAACCCUUUCAUCUCAUUUUGAUGAAUGGUGUGAACACAGACCCAGGUUGUUACCCAUCUUCAGUGACAGGCAUGACUUUAGAGACUUCCUUGAUACCCUAUCCUCCAUCUGUAACAGGAUAAAUACCUUGAAGGUGCAAGAGUGAAGUGGCCCACAGAAGUACCAUAGACCUGUUAGGAUGCAUGGAGGAGGAACAGCUACUUGUAUCUUUCCACUGGAUGAUUGGAAAAGGACAAACAUAGUACCCAUACUUAAGAAAGAGAAAAAGGAGGAUCCAGGGAACUACAGAGCUGUCAGCUUCACCUCAGCCCCUGGAAAAAUCAUGGACUAGUUCCUCAAGGAAUCCAUCUCAAAGCACUUGGAGGAGAAAAAGGUUAUUAAGAACAGUCAGCAUGGAUUCACCAGCAGCAAAUCAUGCCUGACUAACUUGAUUGUCUUCUAUGCUAAGAUGACUGGCUCUGUGGAUGCAAGAAGACUAAUGGAUAUGGUGUAGCUUGGCCUUUGAUAUGGUAUCCCACAACAUUCUUGCAGGCAAGCUAAGAAAGUAUGGGCUGGGUGAAUGGACUGUAAGGUGAAUAGAAAACUUGCUGGAGCAUUGGGCUGAAUAUGAGUCAGUAGUGUGCCCUUGUUGCCAAGAAUGUUAAUGGUGUACUGGGCUGCAUAUUUAGGUGUGUUGCCAGUAGGUCAAGGAAAGUGAUUAGUCCUCUCCAUUCAGCACUGGUGAGGCCACAUCUGGAGGACUGUGUUCAGUUUUGGGCCCCCCACUGCAGAAAGGAUGUGGACAAAUUGGAGGGAG
rnacentral:lncRNA from 1 species